CAGUCUCUUUGCCAUGUGCAGUGGCCCUUCUCGGGGCCCCUGGGUGCUGACCUCUGGGGGGCCAGGAGGGCCUGACCAUUCUGUCUCCCAACAGUGCCCCGCCAUCUGCCCUCCAGGUCCCCCUGGGCCUCCAGGAAUGCCAGGUUUCAAGGGGCCCACGGGCUACAAAGGAGAACAGGGAGAAGUCGGCAAAGACGGCGAGAAGGUAG
rnacentral:lncRNA from 1 species